ensembl:ncRNA T28D6.13 ncRNA
AACACACUGCCACUCGGCCACGCGUGCAUCACCGCCGGCGCUCAGUAAGUGUAUACUUGAAGAGUGGGGGUUACAU